rnacentral:rRNA from 1 species
GUGUCAGCAGCCGCGGUAAUACGUAGGGGGCAAGCGUUGUCCGGAAUUAUUGGGCGUAAAGCGCGCGCAGGCGGUGAUUUAAGUUUGGUGUCUAAGGCACGGGCUCAACCUGUGUACGCACUGAAAACUGGAUCACUUGAGUGCGGGAGAGGAAAGUGGAAUUCCACGUGUAGCGGUGAAAUGCGUAGAGAUGUGGAGGAACACCAGUGGCGAAGGCGACUUUCUGGACCGUAACUGACGCUGAGGCGCGAAAGCGUGGGGAGCAAACAGGAUUAGAUACCCUAGUAGUCC